CAGGCCAACACUGUCUUGACAACAAGAUGGCUGCCCCCGGUUCCAAGUAGUUCCAGGUUCAUCAUCUUCUAGUUCUGAAGUGGCUGCUUUGCCUCCAGCCUGACUUUCUUCAUCUAUGUGUACAACACAGGAAAUUAUCAAAAGAAGGUGAUUGUGGAACUGCAGCUUCUUUGGAAGACAAGUCAGAAAGCACCUUCCAAAUAUGAGCAGGGUGUUUCUGGGGAGAUGACAUCCCUUGUGGCCAGUGGAUGCUGGAGUGCACCACCCACAGCAAGCUCAAGACUUAACUUCUUCAGCAACUAGAAGAGCUGUCCCCAGAAAGCUCUCGGCCAUCAGCUCCCUGCAAAGAUUGCCUCGACUGAAGGCAGGUGCCUUACCAAAGUCACAGCCAUGGGACUGGGUGGAAAAGCCCAGCCCCUUGCUGUCUUCAGAAGUCUCCACAGGUUAGCUGGGGUCACUGUGGAGGCUGCAAUCACAUCUCUCCUCCUGCACCUGCGCUGCCUGCCGCCCUCCUUUGCCCAGGUGUUAAUGCCAAGAGCCCUCCCCCAUGGCCCUCUGGAUGUUAACUCACGUCUCUUCUCUGUUUCCUGGGAACCCUGCUUAUCCCACCCUGGCAUCCUUUGCAACAUUGCCUACUCCGUUUCUUUCAUAGCGUGGACCUCAUCCUCCUAUGAUACUGUUCAUUUAUUGCCGUAAACAUUUACACCUGACUUUUUCCAUCUGCUCAGGGACACAGAGACUCUCUUGCUCUUAUUUUUCGGGUGCCUGGCACACAGCAGGUGUUCAUUAAGUGUUGGUUGGAAGGAAGGGAGGGAAGAGGGAUGAAGAUAGGGAGGAAAGAGAGAGGAGGGAGAGGAGAGGAGAGGGAGGAAGGGAGGAAGGGCUCUGAUGUGGUGACUUUGCUAAGAAUUGUUGAUGUCGGCUCGGCGCCCAUAGCACAGUGGUUACCGCACCAGCCACAUACACCAAGGCUGGGGGGUUUGAACCCGCCCAGGCCAGCUAAGCAACAAUGACAACUGCAACAGCAAAAUAGCAGAGUGUUGUGGCAGGAGCCUGUAGUCUCAGCUGAGGCAAGAGAAUCGCUUCAGCCUAAGAGUUUGAGGUUGCUGUGAGCUGUGAUGCCAGGGCACUCUACCGAGGGCGACAAAAAAAGAAUUGUUGAUGUCCAAUGAGUAGGACUGGAAUUUACAACGGCCGUCACCAGUCCACAGCUGCAAAUGAAGCUGGGACCAGAGAGUGAGAUACCCACAGUUGGCUCAUUGUCUAGAUGGAGAAACUGUAAUAGGAAUCUUUCUCUGGGCAAA